AUUGAACGCUGGCGGCAGGCCUAACACAUGCAAGUCGAGCGAGUGGCGGACGGGUGAGUAAUGUAUGGGAAUCUGCCCGAUAGAGGGGGAUAACUACUGGAAACGGUGGCUAAUACCGCAUACUAUCGGAUGUGCCCAUAUGGGAUUAGCUAGUAGGUGGGGUAAAGGCUCACCUAGGCGACGAUCCCUAGCUGGUCUGAGAGGAUGAUCAGCCACACUGGGACUGAGACACGGCCCAGACUCCUACGGGAGGCAGCAGUGGGGAAUAUUGCACAAUGGGGGCAAGCCUGAUGCAGCCAUGCCGCGUGUAUGAAGAAGGCCUUCGGGUUGUAAAGUACUUUCAGCGGGGAGGCGUUACCCGCAGAAUAAGCACCGGCUAACUCCGUGCCAGCAGCCGCGGUAAUUC
rnacentral:rRNA from 1 species